CCUACGGGUGGCAGCAGUGAGGAAUAUUGGUCAAUGGACGAGAGUCUGAACCAGCCAAGUAGCGUGAAGGAUGACUGCCCUAUGGGUUGUAAACUUCUUUUAUAUGGGAAUAAAAUGUUCCACGUGUGGGAUUUUGUAUGUACCAUAUGAAUAAGGAUCGGCUAACUCAGUGCCAGCAGCCGCGGUAAUACGGAGGAUCCGAGCGUUAUCCGGAUUUAUUGGGUUUAAAGGGAGCGUAGGUGGAUUGUUAAGUCAGUUGUGAAAGUUUGCGGCUCAACCGUAAAAUUGCAGUUGAAACUGGCAGUCUUGAGUACAGUAGAGGUGGGCGGAAUUCGUGGUGUAGCGGUGAAAUGCUUAGAUAUCACGAAGAACUCCGAUUGCGAAGGCAGUUCACUGGACUGCAACUGACACUGAGGCUCGAAAGUGUGGGUAUCAAACAGGAUUAGAUACCCUUGUAGUC
rnacentral:rRNA from 1 species